rnacentral:rRNA from 1 species
UGCGUAGGCGGCUAGUCAAGUCAGGCGUGAAAACUAUGGGCUUAACCCAUUAGCGUGCGUUUGAAACUGAUUAGCUUGAGUGAAGUAGAGGUAAGCGGAAUUCCCGGUGUAGCGGUGAAAUGCGUAGAGAUCGGGAGGAACACCAGUGGCGAAGGCGGCUUACUGGGCUUUAACUGACGCUGAGGCACGAAAGCGUGGGGAGCAAACA